GAAUUCGCCCUUAGAGUUUGAUCCUGGCUCAGGACGAACGCUGGCGGCGUGCCUAACACAUGCAAGUCGAGCGGAGACAGUGAGUAGCUUGCUAUGAGCUGUUUUAGCGGCGGACGGGUGAGUAACGCGUGAGCAACCUUUCCCAGACAGGGGAAUAACACACCGAAAGGUGUACUAAUACCGCAUAAGACCACGGGAUCACAUGGUUCUGAGGUAAAAGAUUUAUCGGUUUGGGGUGGGCUCGCGUCCGAUUAGGUAGUUGGUGAGGUAACGGCCCACCAAGCCGACGAUCGGUAGCCGACCUGAGAGGGUGAUCGGCCACAUUGGGACUGAGACACGGCCCAAACUCCUACGGGAGGCAGCAGUGGGGAAUAUUGGGCAAUGGAGGAAACUCUGACCCAGCAACGCCGCGUGGAGGAAGAAGGUUUUCGGAUCGUAAACUCCUGUCGUUAGGGACGAUAAUGACGGUACCUAACAAGAAAGCACCGGCUAACUACGUGCCAGCAGCCGCGGUAAAACGUAGGGUGCAAGCGUUGUCCGGAAUUACUGGGUGUAAAGGGAGCGCAGGCGGGAAGACAAGUUGGAAGUGAAAACCAUGGGCUCAACCCAUGAAUUGCUUUCAAAACUGUUUUUCUUGAGUAGUGCAGAGGUAGAUGGAAUUCCCGGUGUAGCGGUGGAAUGCGUAGAUAUCGGGAGGAACACCAGUGGCGAAGGCGGUCUACUGGGCACCAACUGACGCUGAGGCUCGAAAGCAUGGGUAGCAAACAGGAUUAGAUACCCUGGUAGUCCAUGCCGUAAACGAUGAUUACUAGGUGUUGGGGGAUUGACCCCCUCAGUGCCGCAGUUAACACAAUAAGUAAUCCACCUGGGGAGUACGACCGCAAGGUUGAAACUCAAAGGAAUUGACGGGGGCCCGCACAAGCAGUGGAGUAUGUGGUUUAAUUCGAAGCAACGCGAAGAACCUUACCAGGUCUUGACAUCCGAUGCAUAGCACAGAGAUGUGUGAAAUCCUUCGGGACAUCGAGACAGGUGGUGCAUGGUUGUCGUCAGCUCGUGUCGUGAGAUGUUGGGUUAAGUCCCGCAACGAGCGCAACCCUUAUUGCCAGUUACUACGUUAAGAGGACUCUGGCGAGACUGCCGUUGACAAAACGGAGGAAGGUGGGGACGACGUCAAAUCAUCAUGCCCCUUAUGACCUGGGCUACACACGUGCUACAAUGGCCACGACAGAGAGAAGCGAAAUCGUAAGGUAGAGCGGAACUCAAAAAAGUGGUCCCAGUUCGGAUUGUGGGCUGCAACCCGCCCACAUGAAGUCGGAGUUGCUAGUAAUCGCGGAUCAGCAUGCCGCGGUGAAUACGUUCCCGGGCCUUGCACACACCGCCCGUCA
rnacentral:rRNA from 1 species